GAAGGCCCCAGGUUUAAUCCCUGGCUGGAAAUAUCCUCAGCCUGAAAUCCUGCGGAGCUACAUACUGGUCAGUGAAAACAGUACUCAGCUAGUUGAAUGAAGGGUCUAACUCAGUAUAGGACCUUUGGGGAUGAGGUCAAACUGUUAGAAGGCUACAAUGCCUUUGGUGGCUGUAGAGAUCAAAACAAGAGGGACAUGAGGCAGAUGAAGGUGUCCAGUUGCUGCAGAUACACCAUGACAUUUCUUCUCUCUGUGCUCCUCCCAGCAGUCAUUCCUCCUGUGGUCACUGCUAUGGAUGCAUGACCUGACUUUCUAUCUCCAGACUCUAUGGUUGCCUGCAAAGGAAUUGCCAUAUGGUGGGCUUCAUGUUGCCAGCCUUCAUGUCACGCUUGCAGACAUCUUUGUAACUCAUAGUUGGUCUGCCAAAAGGCAAGGUGCUUGAAGCCAGCUCUGCAUAGAGCAGCCUUUCUCAACCUUGGGUCCCCAGAUGUUUUGGGACUACAACUCCCAUCAUCCCUAGCUAGCAAGGCCAGAGAUCAGGGAUGAUGGGAGUUGUAGUCCAACAACAUCUGGGGACCCAAGUUGAGAAACACUGGCGUAGAGCAUGUCCUUGGGGAUCCUGCGAUCUUCCAUUCGGUGGACAUAACCAAGCCAGCAUAGACGUAGCUGAGACAGGAGUGUGAACAUGCUGGGACUGUGGGGCCAGGAGAGUACAUCUUGGUUUGAGACCCUGUCCUGCCAUGUUAGGCCCCAAGACCUCCUGAUGCAGAGCAUGUGGAAAGCAUUGAGGUGUCACUUCUGACAGUUCUAAGUUGCCCACAACUCACUUCCAUAAAGCAGUCUGCUCAACACACAAGGAAGAUCUUCCUCUUGGUAUUGGACGUUAGCAUCACACUCUUCCAUAUCUUUUUGGAGAGACAAGCCAUUGCCGUAGCUGCCCUACCAAUACGCUUGAACAGCUCAGAGUCGAUGGAGAGGUUGUUUUAAACCACAGCUGCCAAAACUCCACCCAGGGCCCACCUGGAUUUUCUUUCUGAUUAGCCCUUUAUUCACAAGCAGUCCUCCUCUGCCACUGAGCACUUCUGACUGAGAGGGACUGCAUUUUGAGGAACCAUCUCUCCCCAGGGUUCAGGGCUUGUUCUGCCUCUGUUUCAAAGAGUUCACUUUCUUUGGGCAGAGACCCUUGCAGGUCUUCCUGGAGGGUUUGCCAGAUCCUCCUCGUCCAUUGUUCUUUGCUGUCCCUGACUAAGGCCACCUUCUGGGAGCCCCAGACCCUCUUCAGAAAAGGAGUUCUCUAAUGUGGGCAUGACACACUGUUUCCAAUGCUAUCUGAUGCGCCACAGAGAAACAUGGAAGGAUACUAAAAAUUGCCACAGUUUCAAAAUACACUGGGUUGUGGCGGGCCACAGCAGAUACCUGAGGUACUGCUCUAAGAUCUUUAAAAGACUGCUUGUAGCCAACAUGCCAGGCACCUAGAGGAGCAGAGUUUAUAGGAAGGGGUUUCCUGAACCUGACAUUUACUUCUCUCCCCACCCAACCCUCUACCCGAAAUCAAUGAAUUCACACGAGAUGCCGUGCCAAAAAUAUAUCUUUAACAGCAGCAUUCGGUCAAUCAAUUCUCUUCUUUCUUGCAUGCUGCCUUGAGAAUGCUUAUUAAACUAUUCUGAGAGAUCUAGGGGCUAUUGAUCCAAGAUGGACAUAUAAACAAAACCACAGGAAUGCUGGUAGAUUUGACUAUUCCCCUCAGUGUAGUUGGGUUGCUAUUGUUUUAAAAAAAUCUAACCAAGCGAAAGACUAAAAAAGAAAGUCUCCUGCGCUUGGCCAGCAUACUAUCUUUGCCCUGCUCAUCUUUGAAAGCACUGGGAUAAAUUGAAAGAAUGAAAGCAGAUCUAUAACUUGAGUAAUGCUCAUUUGGAAAUCUAACACAUGCAGGCACGCAAUGGAUAACACUUUGGCUGCAACAACGACACAGAACAGCAUUUCCAGUUAUGUUUGUUAUUCUUUUUUUUUCUGUAGAAAUCCAAUUUUUGCAGUGUACAUUUUUUAAAAAAAUCAAUGGAUCACAAUUUGCUCAAGACAACAAACCUGCCAACUCUGCUUAUUUGGCUGGGUAUGAAGUUCGCUCUCCAACCCUGGCCUAUAGCACAGGGUUUGGGGUCAUUCUGUCCCUGUCAGUUCCAGCAACUCAGUAGCCUCCAUAAAACAAAGAGGAAGAAGUGGUAAGAAUCUGGUUCAGAGUUCAUUUGUGGAACACCCAACUUUGGCUUGAGAGACAACUCCCUCCCUCUCAUAUACCACAGCAAUCUGUCUUAGAACUGUGCACAAAUUGCUUCUUGAAAUCCUCCACCCCGUUCAUGGACAGAGAAAUCAAAAGGACAACUUCUCCAUUUUCCCCAGGACAGGGGAAAAUCUCUUCACCAGUUUCUCAGGUGCGAGACUUGCCUUUAGCAGUGCUGGUGGCACCAUUUCUUUCUUUCGAAUCCUUCGCAGUGCCCCAAACCUAGUGUCAUUCUCGGUUAGUGGGUACAGUGGCAUAGAGGGGAGGGGUGCACAGGGGCGGUUUCCCUUGGUGCAAAAAUAUUAGAGGCACAAAACACCCGGUGCUGCCUCAAUACAGCUGCAUAUUUCCGUUGCUGGGCUCCAUUGAAAACAGCUUCUCCAUACGAACCAGGAUGUGACCUCUCCAGACAAUAGAAUGACCCUUCUCUUACUAUCUUUGUGACUAUGAUCUCCUGGGUGAUGUGGCUGCCAAUAGGCAGUUGAAUGUGCAUGUGUACUCUGUCCAUUUACAUUCCUCCCAUCCCUGCAUGUGGCCUCAGGCACUGGCAACCUAUGCUACACCACUGUGUGGGUGGGUGGGUAUGCGCGUGCACGUGCUUGGGGCUGGCAGGGAAUGACAAAUUAUGUAACCUGGCCCCAGCUAUUCAUGUGGGAUUCUUUUUUGGGGGGGGGGGGGGAUGCUAGCUUAAUCAGCAGUAGGUGGGGGCACCUUAGCUCCCUCUCUGAAGAAUCCCCUGUGCUUGCCAACAAUGGAGGAAGCAACUUCAACACUGGAGAAGAGAAGGGGAAGAAAAAGCCCAGAGUCCCUUUGAUAAGAAUGACUUAGCAAUGGGAGUCAACCAGCUGUCUGACACCUCAAAGCUCCUCACAUCAGCUAAUGCCUUCCCUGAAGCCUUUGCUGGGUUUGCUUGAUAAGGGCACUUGAAAUGCUGAAAGCUGUGAUCUUGUUUAAAAGGGUCAAAUAGAGCCAUCUUUAGUAACAUUUUCAAUGCUUGGAUUAUUGCCUCUGAAGAGAGAGGUAAAUGCCACUUACCAGUAUGUUUUCCACUUCUUCCUAAGGUGUGGGUAACAGUUAUUCUCUCCCCUCCACCCCACUUUGACGCCCUUCCACUUUUUCAGAGUAAUCUGUUGAAUGCAGAAGCAAUUUUGUAUUUAAAGGUGCUACUGCUGUGUGUGUGUGUGUGUGUGUGUGGUUCAGUGUGUCAAAGAGAGAAAAGGUGAGGAAGUAAAUAUUAUGUCACUGUUCAUUUGGACCACCCUCACCGAAUGAAAGAGAACUGAAAUGAAAACAGGGCUUUUUUUCCAGCCAGAACUCACCAGAACUCAGUUCCAGCUCCUCUCAGGUGGGCCCCAUUGCCAUGGAGAACAGCCUUUACCAAAGGUGUCAUGGGCUUUAAAGGUACCCCUGACCAUUAGGUCCAGUCGUGAACGACUCUGGGGUUGCGGCACUCAUCUCGCUUUAUUGGCCAAGGGAGAAGGCAUACAGCUUCCGGGUCAUGUGGCCAGCAUGACAAAGCCGCUUCUGGUGAACCAGAGCAGCACACGGAAACACCGUUUACCUUCCCGCCAAAGUGGUACCUAUUUAUCUACUUGCGCUUUGAUGUGCUUUCGAACUGCUAGGUUGGCAGGAGCUGGGACCAAGCAAUGGGAGCUCACCCCGUCGUAGGGAUUCGAACCACCGACCUUCUGAUCAGCAAGUCCUAGGCUCUGUGGUUUACCCCACAACGCCACCUGCGUCCCUGUCAUGGGCUUUGAAGACACUCAAACUCAGGACGCAAGGGAGAAAGGUGCUACCAGCAAGGCACAUUUGGCAAAUCCACACCGUGAUAAACUCCCGGCCGGAAACCUAUGUCCCUCACUGUGGAAGGACGUGUGGAUUCAGAAUUGGCCUCCACAGUCACUUACAGACUCCUUGUUAAAACCAUGUUUAUGGAAGACAAUCUUACUCCGCUACGAGUGAUCGCCAAAGAAGAAGAAUUGCCAUGGUGGGUUCUGGCACCUCUUUUUCUAGUAAAACAGCACUGACCAAAGAGAGCCAGAAGAGCACAUUGCUCAGAAUCACCAGCUAAAGCCUAGGACACGAGGGUUCAAAUCCCCACUUGGCUAUGAACUGUGCUGAGUGGUCUGAUCACAAACUCUCAGCCUAACCUCCCUCUCAGAGUUAUUGGGACGAUGAAAUGGAGGGAGGAAGAACCAUGUACGUCAACUUGGAAGAAAGGCAACAUGCAAAUUCUAUAACAAAUAAAACAAAAUAAAAAUGUCACAAUGAGUGGUGUAGGAGCU